UACGGAGGGGGGCUAGCGUUGUUCGGAAUUACUGGGCGUAAAGCGCGUGUAGGCGGCCAUGCAAGUCGGAUGUGAAGGCCCUCGGCUCAACCGGGGAAGUGCACUCGAAACUGCAAGGCUAGAGUCUCGGAGAGGAUCGUGGAAUUCUCGGUGUAGAGGUGAAAUUCGUAGAUAUCGAGAGGAACACCGGUGGCGAAGGCGGCGUCUGGACGAUGACUGACGCUGAGACGCGAAAAGCGUGGGGGAGCAAACAGG
rnacentral:rRNA from 1 species